UUUAUCUUCCUAGUGAGAGAUAAGAAGUAACUUUAUCUUCAUAGCAAAGACAUAAAGAUGAUGUAUAGUACUAAUAACUCACCCUGCUCAUACAGAAACAGUAAUCGGUCGAGGAGCACCAAAGAUUCCACCACUGGCGCCAACAACAACCUCAUGACAUCUACCAGUAACCAAACUCUGGGACACUCAACACGUCAAUGCUCCUCUGAACCAUGAAGACUAAAACAUACAGUCUAGCUUUUGGAUUUUUAGUACUGUACUGUAAACUGAAACAUGGGACAUAAAAUAUAUCUUUUGUAA